CGAGCAAGCCGGGCGAUCGCUGCUCCGUCCGAGCGCGUCGCCGCAAGGUGACGCGAGCAUGGAUGGGGGAGAGGAAAGUCCGAACUCCGCAGGGCAGUGUGCUCGCUAACGGCGAGGGUCGGCGGGGGAUGUCGCCAUAGCGACCGUACGCCGCCGGCACGGAAAGUGCCACAGAAAAUAUACCGCCUCGUCCCGCGAGGGAGGGGGUAAGGGUGAAAAGGUGCGGCCGCUUGGGCGGCCCCGCGAAGCGGGGUAAGAGCGCACCGCCCCGAUGGUGACAUCGGGGGCAGGGCAAACCCCACACGGAGCAAGACCAAAUAGGAGAGGAGGAGUGGCCCGCUCCGCAAUGCCGCCGCUUGGCCGCGAGUAGCGGCGAGUGACGACAGGCGACUCUCGGGUAGGUCGCUCGAGCCCGCCAGCAAUGGCGGGCCUAGAGGAAUGAUCGCCGGUCCUGCCUCGGCGGGACAACAGAAUUCGGCUUACAGGCUUGCUCGCGCU
rnacentral:RNase_P_RNA from 1 species